CUACGGGAUGCAGCAGUGGGGAAUAUUGGACAAUGGGGGAAACCCUGAUCCAGCAAUGCCGCGUGUGUGAAGAAGGCCUGCGGGUUGUAAAGCACUUUCGGUUGGGAGGACUGCUUCUAGCACUAAUAUUGUUGGAAGUUGACGUUACCUUCAGAAGAAGCACCGGCUAACUCCGUGCCAGCAGCGCGCGGUAAUACGGAGGGUGCAAGCGUUAAUUGGAAUUACUGGGCGUAAAGCGCGCGUAGGCGGCUAGAUCAGUCGGGUGUGAAAGCCCCGGGCUUAACCUGGGAACUGCAUCCGAUACUGUCUAGCUUGAGUACAGGAGAGGAGAGUGGAAUUCCACAUGUAGCGGUGAAAUGCGUAGAUAUGUGGAGGAACACCAAUGGCGAAGGCAGCUCUCUGGCCUGAUACUGACGCUGAGGUGCGAAAGCGUGGGGAGCAAACAGGAUUAGAUACCCCUGUAGUC
rnacentral:rRNA from 1 species